UGUUGUAGUUUGGCCCAGUGGAGGAGGCUGCGAGGGAAAUCACCGAGUCAUGUACUGAGUGAGUUAUUAGAUCUGACAUCUAGAGAAUACAAAUAGCAGCCGACGACCAUGAGAUGCUGGCCUUCUCAUUGUUCUUGCUGUCAGGCUACCACUAACUGUUUGUUGAGCAGCUCACUUGUGCUAGCAAGACGCCAUGGAUUUUCUUAUAACAAAUCCUGCUAUUAAGUUACAGAUGAAGCAAGGUCAGAAGUGAUUUUGCGCCAAUUCUUCCAACGUCGCUUUAUCGGGUGUCGAGUGUGCUUACGCGUGAAUUUGUGGGGCGUCGAGUGAAGCGGCUGGACGUGGCUUUUCGUCUGGACGUUGAGUUGCGUGUGGCGUGUUCAAGUCGCCGUGGUCGUUGGCUUGUAAUUGUUUGAUGGGUACUUUUGCAGCCAUGUGUACUUAUUUAUAUAUGGGUUUAGGUGUCUUGGUUUGUGGUGGCUGGGACCGGCUGGAAAUCAGAUGCCUACACCGUGUG